rnacentral:rRNA from 1 species
GACGAACGCUGGCGGCGUGCCUAAUACAUGCAAGUAGAACGCUGAAGGAGGAGCUUGCUUCUCUGGAUGAGUUGCGAACGGGUGAGUAACGCGUAGGUAACCUGCCUGGUAGCGGGGGAUAACUAUUGGAAACGAUAGCUAAUACCUCAUAAGAGUAGAUGUUGCAUGACAUUUUCUUAAAAGGUGCAAUUGCAUCACUACCAGAUGGACCUGCGUUGUAUUAGCUGGUUGGUGGGGUAACGGCUUAACAAGGCGACGGUACAUAGCCGACCUGGGAGGGUGAUCGGCCACACUGGGACUGAGAAAAGGCCCAGACUCCUACGGGAGGCAGCAGUAGGGAAUCUUCGGCAAUGGACGGAAGUCUGACCGAGCAACGCCGCGUGAGUGAAGAAGGUUUUCGGAUCGUAAAGCUCUGUUGUAAGAGAAGAACGAGUGUGAGAGUGGAAAGUUCACACUGUGACGGUAUCUGACCAGAAAGGGACGGCUAACUACGUG